CCCUAUUAUAUAAAAAGGUAGUUGAAAUUAUUAUAGGAUGAAAUUUAAAAAUUUUGGCGGUUUAUUAAUUGGGUUAGAGGAGCUUGUUAAUUAGAAUUUACUCUUUAGAUUUUAUUAAUUUUAAAAGUUUAUUUAUCUCCGUUAUUAAAUCUUGAUUUUUAAUGUAUUUAGUAAGUAUUUCAGGUCAAGAUGUAGCUAAAUUGAGAAUAAAUUAGCUACAAUUAUAAAAUAGAUGGAUUAUAAAAAGUAAAAUUUAUGGUGAAAUUGAAUUUAAUUGUAAUAUUUUUUAGAAAAGAAAUAUGAAUAAUUUAUAAUAAAUGUA
rnacentral:rRNA from 1 species